rnacentral:misc_RNA from 1 species
GUAAUUGCAUGUUAUUGAGAAGUUCCUAGUUGAUUAUAUGUACAUAAUAAUAGGUCAAUGGAGAAUGAAAUCAAAUGAACAACUUCAGCCUUAAGUCAUGAGUUAAAAUAAAAAAUGCACUAGGAUUCUCCCUUAAUUAUUUUCCUAAGUUAUUUUGUCUGGACUCCAGCACACCCACUUUGACACUGGCUAAAGAGUAUAUAUUUUGCACUGUACAGUUUGUUAUUUGUUCUGUUGUUAAUUUAUUUUAAGGUCUCUAAUGGUACAAGGAAGUGGUGAAGAAUUUGGAGUGGCAUAUUGAAUUGGUAGUUCUUUGCUGUUUCUAUUAUAUUGUAUACAUUUAUUGUCAUGUAUUUUCCUUUUUGUUUCUUUCAGGCUAAGAACAAUUGAUGCGG